AGGUGGUACAGAUAUGAGAAUAUACGGUCCAUGACGGCAAGAAGAGACAGUAAUAGCUACCAUUUAUUGUGAGACUACUUUGUGCCGGGCACUUUAUUUGCAUUAUUUCUAAUCCUUAAAACAAAAACAAAGUUAAAACCUCUCUAAGGUUGAUUUUUUUUGGAAAGUAAGCUUUCAAAGUCAUCGCUUCUGAUGGUUACUUUCUAGGAUCGUGGCAUUUCUCUUUCUGACGUCAAGAUGUGAGGUUCAUCUCUACUACAAAUCUUUAUACUUCUCGGAACCUAAAAGUUCUUACACACGAUAAAGCAAAAAAUGUCUACCAGCAGCUCCAGGAUUAAAUUCUCAACCGAAGAGGAGUUUCUUUCUUUCUAAGAGUUCCAUAAAAAGUCCCAGGAAGACUCUCAGUUACCAGUCCCAGAUCACAUACUGCAGCCAGCGGUGGAUCAUAAACCAUGUGGGCUGGGAACAGGAAGGAAUGAUCGCUAAGGUACAUGUGGUGAUACUGAAAGGUUGAUCUCCUGAAGUUGUGGUGACUUGGUGUAAACGUCUUUAAAAGGCUUAUUCUCCCAUGUAGCAUAUUUCCCUAUGGUAAAUGACUAUAUUUUUUUCUUUUAAUUUUGAAAAAAAAGAAUAAAAAAGGAAAAUGCAAGGAACAAUGCAGUUGUCAUCCAAGACCCCUCUACCUAUAAUUAAUAAAUGUUAGUAUUUUGUCAUUUUUGC